rnacentral:tRNA from 1 species
UGGUACUUAGUUUAAAACAAAACAGGUGAUUUCGACUCACUGGACUGUGAUCAAACUCACAAGUACCAA